rnacentral:rRNA from 1 species
CCUACGGGGGGCAGCAGUGGGGAAUAUUGGACAAUGGGGGGAACCCUGAUCCAGCCAUGCCGCGUGUGUGAAGAAGGCCCUCGGGUUGUAAAGCACUUUCAGUGAGGAAGAACGCCUGGUGGUUAAUACCCAUCAGGAAAGACAUCACUCACAGAAGAAGCACCGGCUAACUCCGUGCCAGCAGCCGCGGUAAUACGGAGGGUGCGAGCGUUAAUCGGAAUUACUGGGCGUAAAGCGCGCGUAGGUGGCUUGAUAAGCCGGUUGUGAAAGCCCCGGGCUCAACCUGGGAACGGCAUCCGGAACUGUCAAGCUAGAAUGCAGGAGAGGAAGGUAGAAUUCCCGGUGUAGCGGUGAAAUGCGUAGAGAUCGGGAGGAAUACCAGUGGCGAAGGCGGCCUUCUGGACUGACACUGACACUGAGGUGCGAAAGCGUGGGUAGCAAACAGGAUUAGAUACCCGUGUAGUC